rnacentral:misc_RNA from 1 species
AUGAGCAGACAGGGAGAUACAGUUACAGGUAUAUUGAUUUUUCGCUGUAGAAGGUUUACACAUAUCUUAAAAAUAGAAUAUGACACGACAGCGUGUUCACAAAAAAUAAAAUAAAAGGAACGUGGCGGAAAUAACCACUGGAUAGUUUAAGAAAGGCGUUGUCGUGGAAACUGCAGAAGAACUCAGGGAGCGUUUUACGGCCUAAAUUGAAAUUGUGAAAAUGAAGUGGGCGAAUGAUUUAAAGCCACUUAAAUUCACACAAGAGGUUGUUUAUUUCCUAAUAGAAGUGGGCGAAUGAUUUAAAGCCACUUACUGUUAUUCUGCUUGGUUGACAUUUGUUAGUGACACAGUUUACAAGAUACACAACUACCGCCUCCAUUACAAUUUUACUACGGGAUUACUUAUUCUGUUCAGCAGGAGUUAGGUUGGCGACCUUCAAAUGCAGAUAUCUAUUAAUCUAAUGAUGAAACAAAAUGCAGGUUUUUCAGUAUUGGAGGAGGAUUCUAACAAAAUUUACAAAUGCCAAAUUGUUUGUCAGAAUUUAUGCUGUGACAUUUCUGAUAGUUGUUCCAUUCUGUAGUAUAAUUAAACUAAUAAACGACUUUCAACAAGAAAACGCUAUUAUAUCCGAAAACGGAAAAAGAGUUACUGAAUCAAAAGCAGUUUUAUCUGAUAUGAAGCCAAUAUUCGACACUCAUGGAAACUUUCUGUCAAGCAGUGGUUUUAAAAAUGAUCAUUCAUGCAGUCUUGCAAUUAGUAUUAUUACUGUGUCAAGAGAUAGAAAUCUGACGGAUGCAGACAAACCACAUUACAUUAUACAGUCAGUGGCAGCGUUUCUCAGGGUAAUCCAACAGUCAGGUAUAGAUGAUAUCCGUAUACACUUUAGCGUUUGUAAUGUCGACAUUAAUCCAGAAAGUCACACCGAUAUGAGGGAUAUUCCGAAAUGGAUCACCGUUUAUCAACGUAAUGCAAAGCCAGGAAGCAAAUACAAAUCCUUCUUUGAGAAAGAGAAGGAAGAUUACAUAUUUUGUUUACAAAAAGGUUUGGAGCAGAACACGUCAUAUAUGUUGGUAACCGAAGAUGACGCAUUGCCUCAUUCUGAACUAUUAACCGUGAUAAAAGAGAAGAUUUUAACAAAAGAAAAGUGUGCUUUUAAACAAAGAAACCUGCAAAAUGUGCUUUAUAUUAAACUCUUUACAAACAAUCGUGAUACAAAUUUUAUUAGAACUUGGUAUAAACCUACGGCUUUACUAGAAUUUGGUAUUGACAUGAGGGUGUUGUAUGAGCUCAUUUUACUGUCACUGGUUUUUACCGGAAUACUUUUACUAAUCUGUAAGAAAUAUACAAAAACACGAAUGUCUACUUACAGCAAAUUUCUUUUGAUUAUUUAUGUAAUAUGCGUUCUUACUUUCAUAGAGCGCCGGAAUAUAAGAAUGGUUUGGCGGUAUAUUUUGGGAAUCUCUCAUGAAAUCUCGUCUGCUCCAGCCGGAAGUUUUGUGGCAAUGUUAUAUCCACGCGACGGUGUAUACAAUACUGUAAGCUAUCUCAGUUCAAGCGAAUGUAGCAGGGUAUAUGCGAAGGACCUGGUUCUAAAUGAUAUGGGUAGAGAUCAUUGGAAACAAGUAUUAUAUAUUGAACCAAGUUUAUUUACACAUAUAGGAUAUAAAAGGUCUAGACACCAUACUAGAUUUUGAAAGCGUAAAACCAAAUCAGGCAAUUGGUGAACAUAUUCAGUGUGAACAAUACAAGAAGUCCGGCCCUCGGUCAAGGCCUGUGUCUUCAGUAUGUCAGAGAUAAUUCAUUUCUCCACACAAACAGAAGUUUCCAUCUACUUAGUAAAUCCCAGGAACACUGAUCGCUGAUGCAUCACUGAAAUAAGGCUGUGUUAAGCUUAUUAAGUGAACCUGUUUUCACUUGUGUCUUACAUUAGUUCAGUAUAUAUUUAAUCCACUGUAUUGUGUUCAAAAAGAUUUAAUCUAACACUGAACGACAACCGAGCGUUAAGAAAACACAAUUGUUUUUUUUUUUUUUUUUUUGUGUUCUUUGUAUAAAAGAUGCAAGUUGUAUCUUUAUAAAUUUGUUUUGCAUUCUGUUAGUAAUCGUAAAAAGGACAUUAAGGUGUUACACCAUUCAUUACCUCUCAUGAACAGACCUAUUACGGAUCAGUGUUGUUACAUUUUCUAGUCGUUAGGGAUCGUAUUGUGCAUUCAGUCUUACUGUAAAUGAGUUCCUCUAAAGGUGGUGUGAGGGGUGUUGCCUAUUCAUUACCUCUCAUGAACAGACCUAUUACGGAUCAGUGUUGUUACAUUUUCUAGUCGUUAGGGAUCGUAUUGUGCAUUCAGUCUUACUGUAAAUGAGUUCCUCUAAAGGUGGUGUGAGGGGUGUUGCCCAUUCAUUACCUCUCAUGAACAGACUAAGUCAGACCGUGUCUGCUAUUCUGCUGCUUGGUUGCGUUCUAUGCUUUCAACAGAUCUUUUAACAGACUUUAUCACACUAGUACCAGUUUCAGUUUCAGUUUAUUGUUCACUCUUCACAAAAUAUAUGUGAUUAGAGGUACAUAUAAUAAUCAAGUAUGUAUAAUACACAUACAAAAAUGUUAACCAGGCUGUAAGGUCAAUAUCUACAUGUUUUAUAAGAACAAAGAUAAACUAUAUUGCAGUAUAGAGGAACAAAAAUCUUAAGUAGUGGUACUAAACAACUACAGUUUUAUCAGUAAACUACAGCUAGCAUUUAUUUUCAAUAUGAAUAUACAUAUGUAUCUUUAAGAUUUUAAGGGUUAUAAGUUGCCAGGUGGGUUUUUAACGGUUUUCAAAACAGCUGAUAUGAAUCGACUCAAAUUGGUCAGUUUUUUAACAUCAUUCUCAGUCAUGAUAUUCUUUAAUGAGAUAACAUUAACAGGUAUGCUUCUUAUUAAAGGUAAAAAACGUGUUCUAUCAUCACGAAAAUAGGAAUUCGUCUCCAAUAUCGUUCAUGUUACAUAGGUUACAUUUCCUGUUUUGUCUUUCUAUACCGAGCCAUCUGCCUUUUUCUACAGGCAUAUGGCUAUUACAUAAUCUAAAGUUGAUAAGUGCUUGGACAUACACAUUUGGUAAGGAACAAUAACAGUCUUCAAACUUGUGUUCAGUUUUGUAAAUUCUAUAGUUAUAACAUUUUGCAGAUUCGUUCACAUUACUAGCCCGGACUUGUUGAUAUUGUGCCUUAAGGGAAUUUUCAAUUAAAUUAACUAAUACCGACAUGCUGAUUCUGUUAUCGAAAAAUUACACAGUGGACACUGAUGACAUUUAAAUAAUUGUGUACAGUAUGGCAAUAUAUUAAGACCAAAAUGAAAAAGGCGCAUGAUUAUGUAAUAAAAUCUAUUAACAGAUGAGUACGAAUCUAUAGAUAUUCCAUACUGAACUGGAAAAUGUGAUCAUUUUAUGUAAAAAUUAUCAACAAUAAUACGGACACGAUUCCGAAAUUCGAGGUGUUCGAAACGAUCAAACACACGAAAACGUUUACUUGAAGGAUACUUUUGUUGGUCAGCGGCUUUUGCCUUUAUUUGGCGUCAGUAUUGUUUCGAAAGUUGAUCCGUCCAAUGUUAACACUUUUAAUACAUUUAGUACUCUUCUUAUAAUAAUUUAAUGAAGAAAUGUGACUUAUUGACUUAUUAGCCCAUUGGGUUAUAUGCUUUGUGUAUUGAAGUUUAUUAUUACAAUUGUAAUAUGAUUGCGUAUGUCAGUUUAAUAAACAGUUUCUUACCUUGC